rnacentral:tRNA from 1 species
UGUUCUGUGGUUUAGUUGGUUAAAGCGCCGGAUUAGCGAUACGGAUUCGUGGAUUCCAAUCCCUGCAAAACAA